UAAAUUGAAAAUUGAAUAAUU
rnacentral:piRNA from 1 species